GAUGAAGAGCGUAGCGAAAUGCGAUAAGUAAUGUGAAUUGCAGAAUUCAGUGAAUCAUCGAAUCUUUGAACGCACAUUGCGCCCGCCAGUAUUCUGGCGGGCAUGCCUGUUCGAGCGUCAUUUCAACCCUCAAGCCCAGCUUGGUGUUGGGGAUCGGCACAGGCGCCCUCGGGCGCCCGCCGUCCCCUAAAUCUAGUGGCGGUCCCGCUGCAGCCUCCUCUGCGUAGUAGUUUUCUCCUCGCAAGGGCAGCUCGGUGGCGACCUCGCCGUAAAACCCCCAACUUCUGAAAGGUUGACCUCGAAUCAGGUAGGAAUACCCGCUGAACUUAAGCAUAUCAAUAAGCGGAGGA
rnacentral:misc_RNA from 1 species